GCCUCUGUAGCUCAGUUGGUAGAGCAGCUGACUCUUAAUCAGCGGGUCCCAGGUUCGAGCCCUGGCGGAGGCACCA
rnacentral:tRNA from 1 species